rnacentral:rRNA from 1 species
UACGAAGGGGGCUAGCGUUGCUCGGAAUCACUGGGCGUAAAGCGCACGUAGGCGGAUUGCUAAGUCAGGGGUGAAAUCCUGGAGCUCAACUCCAGAACUGCCUUUGAUACUGGCGAUCUUGAGUCCGGGAGAGGUGAGUGGAACUGCGAGUGUAGAGGUGAAAUUCGUAGAUAUUCGCAAGAACACCAGUGGCGAAGGCGGCUCACUGGCCCGGUACUGACGCUGAGGUGCGAAAGCGUGGGGAG